rnacentral:rRNA from 1 species
UGAGGAAUCUUGCGCAAUGGGGGCAACCCUGACGCAGCAACGCCGCGUGAGUGAGGAAGGUCUUCGGAUCGUAAAGCUCUGUCGGAUGGAAAGAACCGCAUAGGGGUAAACAGCCCCUGUGUCUGACGGUACCAUCAAAGGAAGCACCGGCUAACUCCGUGCCAGCAGCCGCGGUAAUACGGGGGGUGCAAGCGUUGUUCGGAAUUAUUGGGCGUAAAGAGCGUGUAGGCGGCCUGAUGUGUCAGAUGUGAAAGCCCUGGGCUUAACUCAGGAAGUGCAUUUGAAACUGUCAGGCUCGAGUAGGGGAGAGGGAAGUGGAAUUCCUGGUGUAGAGGUGAAAUUCGUAGAUAUCAGGAGGAACACCGGUGGCGAAGGCGACUUCCUGGCCCUAUACUGACGC